CCCCUUUUAAAGGCAUUCAGUGGGUCAUUUGCUAAUGAUCCAUUGAGCCAUCAAGUAAGGGCAGAGUAAAAAUACCACUUUUGGGUAAAGCGGUAACAUGUUGUGUUGCUUUGUUUCAAUCGGUGGUAUGAUAAGG